rnacentral:ncRNA from 1 species
CACAAUUACCGUAUCGUUUUUUUUUUUUCUUUUUCGGCUUGUUGGAAACAGGCAGACAGAGAAAAUAGAAACCAAUCGCGUCGACGGUCCAGCAGGUAUUAAACUUUCAUUACGAUCGCCGUUUUUUGGCAGCGUGCUCGCACGAUUUUAGAGACACACACGAAAGAUAAAGUGUACGUACCACAUGAUACGAGGGUACCCCAUAGCGUGUUGCUUUGAGCUCUCACCGAAAAAAGCAGCAAAUAGAAUUGACGAGUGUGUCACUGCUACGAGAGCAUCCACCACCACCGCUCAACAUUCGAAAAACGACAAGGGGACUACGAAGUGAUAAGACUUACCUUCUAAUCGGAAGGUCUAGGUCAAGGUUCAAACUAUUCAUACAGAAUUGGUCCACUUACAAAAAAAAAAAAAAGAGGGGGGGGGGGGGGGGAUGAAUGGAUUAACGAGAUUCCCACUGUCCCUAUCUACUAUCUAGCGAAACCACAGCCAAGGGAACGGGCUUGGAAAAAUCAGCGGGGAAAGAAGACCCUGUUGAGCUUGACUCUAGUCUGACUCUGUGAAGAGACAUGAGAGGUGUAGCAUAAGUGGGAGGCCGUGAACCCUCGCGGUUGUGUCGUGCCGUCAGUGAAAUACCACUACUUUCAUCGUUUCUUUACUUACUCGGU